GGGGAUUUAGCUCAGCGGCAGAAGCACCUGCCUUGCAAGCAGGAAGUCGUGAGUUCGAUCCCUG
rnacentral:tRNA from 1 species